rnacentral:rRNA from 1 species
CGCGUAGGCGGUCUUAUUAGUCAGAUGUGAAAGCCCGGGGCUCAACCCCGGAAGAGCAUUUGAAACGGCAAGACUUGAGUAUGGGAGAGGGAAGUGGAAUUCCUGGUGUAGAGGUGAAAUUCGUAGAUAUCAGGAGGAACAUCUGUGGCGAAGGCGACUUCCUGGACCAAUACUGACGCUAAGGCGCGAAGGCGUGGGUAGCAAACAGGAUUAGAUACCCUGGUAGACC